rnacentral:rRNA from 1 species
UACAGAGGGGGCAAGCGUUGUUCGGAAUUACUGGGCGUAAAGGGCGCGUAGGCGGCCUGUUAAGUCGGACGUGAAAUCCCUCGGCUCAACCGGGGAACUGCGUCCGAUACUGGCGGGCUUGAAUUCGGGAGAGGGAUGUGGAAUUCCAGGUGUAGCGGUGAAAUGCGUAGAUAUCUGGAGGAACACCGGUGGCGAAGGCGGCAUCUUGGACCGACAUUGACGCUGAGGCGCGAAAGCCAGGGGAGCAAACGGG